CCUACGGGUGGCAGCAGUGAGGAAUAUUGGUCAAUGGCCGAGAGGCUGAACCAGCCAAGUCGCGUGAGGGAAGACGGCCCUACGGGUUGUAAACUUCUUUUGUCGGGGAGCAAAGCGAGUCACGUGUGACUCAAUGAGAGUACCCGAAGAAAAAGCAUCGGCUAACUCCGUGCCAGCAGCCGCGGUAAUACGGAGGAUGCGAGCGUUAUCCGGAUUUAUUGGGUUUAAAGGGUGCGCAGGCGGAGGGGAAAGUCAGCGGUCAAAUUGCGGGGCUCAACCCCGUACUGCCGUUGAAACUGCAUGCAGUGAGUGCGCGAGAGGUAGGCGGAAUGCGUGGUGUAGCGGUGAAAUGCGUAGAUAUCACGCAGAACUCCGGUUGCGAAGGCAGCAUGCCGGAGCGCAACUGACGCUCAUGCACGAAAGCGUGGGUAUCGAACAGGAUUAGAUACCCCAGUAGUC
rnacentral:rRNA from 1 species